rfam:Soboliphyme baturini genome assembly, scaffold: SBAD_contig0001218
AAACAAAAAGGUUUGGUCCUAGCCUUCCUAUUAGUUAUUAACAGAAUUACACAUGCAAGCCUCCACAUCCCGGUGAAGAUGCCCUCUAAAUCCAAAACGAUUAAAAGGAGCGGGCAUCAGGCACACUAAAUAGGUAGCCCAUAACGCCUUGCUCAACCACACCCCCACGGGAUACAGCAGUGAUAAAAAUUAAGCCAUGAACGAAAGUUUGACUAAGCCAUGUUAAUAUUAAGAGUUGGUAAAUUUCGUGCCAGCCACCGCGGUCAUACGAUUAACCCGAAUUAAUAGGCUCACGGCGUAAAACGUGCUAAGGAUCACAAGACACUAAAGUUAAAAUUUAACCAGGCCGUAAAAAGCUACUGUUAAUAUAAAAUAUACCACGAAAGUGACUUUAUCAUCUCCAACAACACGAUAGCUGGGACCCAAACUGGGAUUAGAUACCCCACUAUGCCCAGCCCUAAACACAAAUAAUUUACACAACAAAAUUGUCUGCCAGAGAACUACUAGCAACAGCUUAAAACUCAAAGGACUUGGCGGUGCUUUAUAUCCCUCUAGAGGAGCCUGUUCUGUAAUCGAUAAACCCCGAUAAACCUCACCACUCCUAGCUAAACCAGUCUAUAUACCGCCAUCUUCAGCAAACCCUUAAAAGGAAGAAAAGUAAGCACAAUAAUACUACAUAAAAAAGUUAGGUCAAGGUGUAACCCAUGGAGUGGGAAGAAAUGGGCUACAUUUUCUUAUCAAGAAUACACUCACGAAAGUUUUCAUGAAAACUGAAAACUAAAGGUGGAUUUAGUAGUAAAUUAAGAAUAGAGAGCUUAGUUGAAUAGGGCCAUGAAGCACGCACACACCGCCCGUCACCCUCCUCAAGCAACACAUUCAACCAUUACAUAAUAUAAACUAAACUGAAGCAAGAGGAGAUAAGUCGUAACAAGGUAAGCGUACUGGAAAGUGUGCUUGGAUAAACCAAAGU